UCCACCUAAAAAGCAAUAAUCGUUGGAAAACAAGAUCUGAGAAGCUAAAACCCUAUCUCCUGUGAGAAAAAACAAUUUUGGAACUGGGGUAGGCUUGGAAUCCUCUGGCGAUCUAAAAGGAGCAAACAAAUUCCAGAAAAAGUCACUGGAAAGUUGUCUACUCACUGGCGCAUAAGACAUACGUGUGGUGGAGUCAGAGAUAUUCACGGCGCAUGACGACGUGUGGGGAGGUCCUUCUUGGAGCUGCUUAUUGGGGUUUUGUCACUGUUUCUAGAGGAAUCUUGUAAUUGUGUUAGUUGCUCCACACUACUGGUAUAUAAUUUCUUUGAUGCAUACAACCACCGGGAGGGAGUAAAAACACGACCUCUUUCAAAAAACUGGAACCCUAUAGUGCUGCCAAGCCCUGAGGGAGGAAACUCUGUGCAAAAGGACAAUAGAGGCUCUG
rnacentral:lncRNA from 1 species